rnacentral:lncRNA from 1 species
AUCUAUGGCGGAGAAAACCUCAACCGGAGUUAAAUGGACGGGAGGGAGAGAGAGAGAUUGCAUGCAAGGGAGGGAGUCAGAGAAAAGAUACAAAAUAACCAGAUAGAGAGUGUUAUUGUUAAAAUAAAUGCUACUUUUAUUGGGGGGAUUUGUUACAUAGUUCAGGGAAGGGGAAAAUGAAGAAAAAAAAAGUCUUUUAAUAAUAGUCUGCUGCGGUCCCGCUUUGUUCCUUUGGAGAGUAACCUGCGGAACUCUCCGCUGCGUUUUUUAAUUAAUUUAAAAGCCGGGGUUUCGGUCAUCAGAUCCAGUUUAAGUAGCACCUAUGGGUACAGUUCAGUGUAGACUCAGAUAAUUCAGUUCAAAACAAUAACAUAGGCCCAUUCUACAUUGCCAUAUAAAAUCCAGAUUAUCAACUUUUGAACUGGAUUAUAUGUCAGUGUAGGCUCAGGUAAUCCAAUUUAAAGCAGAUAAUGUGGAUGAUCUGCUUUGAUAAUAUGGAUUAUAUGGCAGUGUAGAAAGGGUCGUAGAUUAUCUGCUUUCAUAAUCUGGGUUAUUUGGCAGUUUAGAAGGGGCUUAUAUGGGACUUUCCAGUCUCAUGUUUCCUACACCAAAGGAGACCUAAGCAUUCUUUGGCAUUGUCACCUGCACAGUUGUACACAAUUUCUCCAAAUGUCAUCCAUUUGUCAUGUGCAAGUGUUGUAUUUUGUUUUGUUUUACCAUUUUUUCCCCAAUCAAAUACACGUGGAUCCAAAAAAUGUCUCAACAGAUCUGUUGGAUGUUGGAGUGGGCAGAGUGUACCUUUUUUGUUCCAAAAAUAUCCUGUGCCUCAGUGAGGGACAAAACAUGAUGCACCGAAGAGGAUUAAUUUACCCGGAUUUUUGAUAACUGUGUCCUGCUGUGGGGAAAUCAGUUUUAUUUUUCAAUGAGAAGAAAACUAGCAAAUACCCCAUAAUAUAAGACAUAUGUAUGUUUUGUUCAACUUUAUAUGAUUGUGGUUUGCUUUUUUUUCACCAGGAGUCGUCUGAAUCUGAACAAUCCAGUGUAACACA